rnacentral:lncRNA from 1 species
UGCGGGCGCGUGCUGGCCGCGUCGGGUGCGUCAUUCCCGUAGCUAGCAUGUGCAUGUGUUGGUCGUGGCCGUGGUGAGUGGAGUCUCCGAGCCGGCCGAGUCUCUGUGCGGCAGUUCCUGCAUGUGUGGUGCGUGGGAGCUGCGUCUCCGCAGCCUACAAAGCCGGCCAUUUCCAGGUUGUUAGCAGCGUGCAUGUAGCUAGGUAGUUAGUGCAUGGGUUAGUGGCCGAUCUGGCGUGCAUGCCUCUAGGUAUUAAAGUGGCCACGGUGCUGGUGUGUAGGUGUGCCAGAGAAGAGAGAUGUAGCCUCUCAGUGUAUGUGUGCUCGCCGUGAGGGUGUGUGUGUUGAGUUCGAGCUCAAGGAAAGCGUUCGUGCGCUGGCAAACCCUCCCCGUGUCCUUCCUCGUCCUGUUGUCUUCGUCCUCCUCGUGUCGUUUGAGCGCAGCAGCGAGGGAGAGCGUGUGUGGGCUAGCGAGGGAGAAGGCCACGGUAACAACAAUUGGUAUCGGAGCAUCGGGUUCGGAGGAGCUCGCCGGCGAUGGCGCUCGUCCCGUGCGGCGGCGGAGCACGGUGACGCCGUGCGUAGGGGGAGCGCGGCAGCCGCGGCGGACCUGCGCGGUGGCGCAGAGGCUACGGUGGCGCGGUGCGGCUCGGCGGAGGGAAAGCCAAGCUCCGGGACACGCCGGAUCGGGCGCGUUGGUCGCGUCGGAGCGCGAUCAUGGCGCGGGCUGGUGGCGUGCGGAGCGUGGCAAAACAAGCCGCGGCGACGGGCUCACCGCAUCGGGCGCGUGUAUGGGCGCGUGCCAGACGUAGCGGGCAGAUCGGGACCGCGGGUGCGGACCACGUCGGGGCGCUGGACCUGGUGCGCAUAUCGCGUACGUGCGCGGCGGGAACGCGAGGACGUGGGGUGUGCGCGGCGAAGGGCACGGCGGCACGGUAGCAGGCGUGGCAGCGACGUCGGGGCGGUGGCGGCUACAACGACGUCGACCGCGCGGCGGAGCGCGCGCUGCGGGCGGACGGCAGGGUCGAGGACGUCGGUCUCCAAUAGGCCACGGCUUAGGGGGAGAGUGUUGGCCGCUGUAAGCCGCGGCGUGUGCGGGCGCGCGCUGCCGCGUCGGGUGCGUCAUUCCCGUAGCUAACAUGUGCAUGUGUUGGUCGUGGCCGUAGUGAGUGGAUUCUCCGAGCCGGCCGAGUCUCUGUGCGGCAGUUCCUGCAUGUGUGUUGCGUGGGAGCUGUGUCUCCGCAGGCUACAAAGCCAGCCAUUUCCAGGUUGUUAGCAGCGUGCAUGUAGCUAGGUAGUUAGUGCAUGAGUUAGUGGCCGAUCUGGCGUACGUGCCUCUGGGUAUUAAAGUGGCCACAGUGCUGGUGUGUAGGUGCGCCAGAGAAGAGAGAUGUAGCCUCUCAGUGUAUGUGUGCUCGCCGUGAGGGUGUGUGUG